UGCCAGCAGCCGCGGUAAUACGGAGGGUCCGAGCGUUAUCCGGAAUCAUUGGGUUUAAAGGGUCCGUAGGCGGUCUGGUAAGUCAGAGGUGAAAUCCUGCAGCUCAACUGUAGCAUUGCCUUUGAUACUGCCAGACUUGAGUUAUUUUUAAGUAGUUAGAAUGUGUAGUGUAGCGGUGAAAUGCAUAGAUAUUACACAGAAUACCAAUUGCGAAGGCAGAUUACUACGUAUGUACUGACGCUGAGGGACGAAAGCGUGGGGAGCGAACAGGAUUAGAUA
rnacentral:rRNA from 1 species